rnacentral:rRNA from 1 species
AGGCAGCAGUGGGGAAUAUUGCACAAUGGGCGAAAGCCUGAUGCAGCAACGCCGCGUGAGGGACGAAGGCCUUCGGGUUGUAAACCUCUUUUAGUAGGGAAGAAGCGAAAGUGACGGUACCUGCAGAAAAAGCACCGGCUAACUACGUGCCAGCAGCCGCGGUAAUACGUAGGGUGCAAGCGUUGUCCGGAAUUAUUGGGCGUAAAGAGCUCGUAGGCGGUUUGUCGCGUCUGCUGUGAAAACCCGAGGCUCAACCUCGGGCCUGCAGUGGGUACGGGCAGACUAGAGUGCGGUAGGGGAGAUUGGAAUUCCUGGUGUAGCGGUGGAAUGCGCAGAUAUCAGGAGGAACACCAAUGGCGAAGGCAGAUCUCUGGGCCGUAACUGACGCUGAGGAGCGAAAGCAUGGGGAGCGAACAGGAUUAGAUACCCUGGUAGUCCAUGCCGUAAACGUUGGGAACUAGAUGUGGGGACCAUUCCACGGUCUCCGUGUCGCAGCUAACGCAUUAAGUUCCCCGUCUGGGGAGUACGGCCGCAAGGCUAAAACUCAAAGGAAUUGACGGGGGCCCGCACAAGCGGCGGAGCAUGCGGAUUAAUUCGAUGCAACGCGAAGAACCUUACCAAGGCUUGACAUAUAGAGGAAACGGCUGGAAACAGUCGCCCCGCAAGGUCUCUAUACAGGUGGUGCAUGG